UGGCCUUGACAUAGACAGAAUUUAGUAGAGAUAUAAAAGUGCCGGUUUACCGGAGCUGUUAUAC
rnacentral:rRNA from 1 species